CCUAGUAGACGCCUACCCGUGCGUGUCCCGCCUGUCCGGUGUCGCGUGCCGAGGCUGUGAGGCCGUCGCGUCUCGCGUCACUGGCUCCCCGCUCCUCGCAGCACCAAAAACGCGGCAGGCCGAGAAAUGUUCCCGACCGCGAGGACCAUGACACCGAGCAGGAGACGGAGGAAGGGGAGCGGGAGGCGGUGGCGGUUACCCGCGCCUGCACCUGGCUUCAAGCCUCCGAUCCGCCCAAGGCAUCAUAAAUGAUGAAUAUGGGGGCACAUUGUAUGAUGGAUUCCUUGGAGUGCUAAAUGCUACUCCGGGGUUGUCCCAAAUCAUUUAUAGCUUGGCAGGAGUAGCAACAGGCAUCUAUUCUUCACUGUCAGGGUAAAUUACCUUCGGCAGUCUCCACUUUAUAUACCACAUGCUUCUUCAAGCACAGUGAGCAUUUCCUAAUUCCUAUUAUACCGCUUAACAAUAAUCUCGAAGGAGAAGUGCAAUUUCUUUGUCUUCCUUCGUACCAGACAACCCUUCAUAUAGUUAUAUGUAAUUGAAUGUCGUCAAGUUUUGUAUAAGCUGGAAGUUUAUUUUUCUGUUUUCUCAUAGUUUGGGAAGAAAGAGAUGCCUGCUUGUCAAUGGUAGUGAAUCAUGCCCGAUUUAGGUCAAUUUAUGGUUGGAUUUAUCUCACCUACAAAUAUGCUUUCUAUCCUUACACUAUUAGUUAGCUUUGUUACUCUUGUGGCCCGAACCUGUCAGUUUAAGUAUUUCAAUAUUUUUGCCUAAGCCUAUAGUGUGAUGAUGAGAAGUACUACAACAAUAAGCUGGAGCUUGAAUGGUCCAGUGUGAAAGUAAGUUUUCAACUGAAAUCCUUGAAAUACAUUAGACUUGUGAUCUUUUUACAAGCUUAAUGUAAAACGCAUUAAGAAAACUGUAUAUGCUUAGCAGAAAGUGAUUGAUUGGUGUAGAAGUUCUUUUCAGUUGACGUUAAAGCUUAAUGGAGAUCACCGCUCAGGAUGCUAAAUGAAGUAGAAAAUAGUGCCCAGAAAUAAGUAGUAGGAAAAAAAACUAUUCUGUUUUAGGAUAAACUUCUGAGUGGUAGCAAUAUAUUUUAUUUUCGGAGUUUGGAUUUAUUCCAACACAGUGAGUAGUCUGGGUUAACUGUGGCUUCAGAGCUGUGUUUGCUAUCACUUUUCUGACUGUGAUAGUGUGAUAUGAUCUUUUUGAGUAAAAGUUUGAUUUUAUCAACUUUCUGAUUCCGACUUCCACCACGGUUGAUUAGUAGAUCAUACACAGACAUUUCGUGCUAUCUGUAAAAUCUGAUCUGGAACUUCUUUGCCUAUUGAAAUUUUGUAGUUCUUCUUCAUUGAAGAACCGAGAAAGUUAUAUCAUUGUAUAUAUGCAUUCACACUACUAUAUGAGUAUAUUUUUGUUGUGCCUUUUGCUACAACUUUGCUGUGGUUUUCGAUUUUCAUCUCUACCGCAACUUUGCUUGGGACUCAAAUGUUAUAUUGUGUUGCUAUGACGCCAGAUCUGUAAAUGUUACCUAUAAUAAUAAAUCUUACAUAUACCUAGAGGUGGUAAUGGAUCAUGAUCUAAAUGCUUCUUCACAAAAUGGUAAGGUUCUAAAUAAUUUUUAGUUUAAAAAUGAAUAGAAAUAGAGUUUGAUCCUAAUCUGAUCCGAUACUUAAAUCUUAUAGUGUAAAAUUUAGAGCCCAUUAUCACCCCUACAUAUACCAUGUACAACUCCAUUGUUUUUCUCGAAUGACACAUUCAUAGUUUUAGGUGUUUUGAUAGGCAAAUAGCCCUCAAAUAAAUAACCAGAAACUCGCACACACAAGACAAACACAGUGGGUUUGGUGACUGGACUGACUUAGCCUUUUCUGAUUCUCUCUCUCUCUCUCUCUCUCUUUCUCUAGGCAGCUGUGAGCUACAUUUUAAGAUUUGAUAGCCUUCUAAUUAAUGCAGAAUAUUACACGCUUAAUCAGCCUAUUACUGCUAAUCUGCUAUUCCUUCAUGCUAAAAUUAAGCUAAAGAUAAGUCUAUGAACCUAGACACUAGUGUGCACCUAGACACACAAUUACUCUCGACAUGUUUAACUAUGGUUGCAUGGAAUGGAUUGACUAAUAGUCAUUAGUCAAUGGUUUUAAUGGCUCAUGUAGUGAUUGUGGCUAAUUCAAUGGGUGUAAAUCAUAAUUGGUUUAUGAGGAGAGAUUUUUUUAAAAUUUUAGCGUAUAUAUGUAAUACUGAUAAAAUUAAUGAUCUAGCAGACCUACCAUGGGUGUUAGGACAAGUUUUUUAGAUUUUGACACUGGCAGCAAUCCUCCAUCUCUGACCAAAUUUAAUUAUUUCUUUUGCUCCAUAUAUAUACAUAAUGCUUUAGUUUUUUUUUAUCGUGAUUGGACUUUAUUAGUUGCAUGCUUAUUUCUCUGACAUCACCUCCAACAAGAAAUCAAUAGUGACAAUGUUGUCUUGAGGAUGCAAAACAUGUAAAGACCAAAACUGGCUGCCAAAAUGACAUCCAUUUCAAAUGGGGAGUAGUAAUUACUUAGCUAUUGUUUGUUUCCUAAGAUCUGCAUUUAAAUUGGUGAACAUAUUGUUUAUCUUAAUACUUGCCACACAUUGUUUUGAUCUUAUUUUCUCACAUAGUCACAUACAUAUAAACAGCCAUAACUCAUAAUAGCUCUAGAAUUCCUGCAAGACUGAUCUUCAGUGUUCAUGACAACUUUAUGGCUUAUGUUCUGAUGUAGUUCGUUACAAAUAGAAAGAAUCACACUUCAGAAUGCCACAAAUUUUCUGAUAGCCAUGAAUAUUGCGUGUCUGAUAUUGUUUUUGUACAUGAAGGGAGCAUGCUUCUUUAAGUACAUGGUAUGGUACUCCCUCCGUUCUAAAUUCAAAGUCACUUUGACUUUUUUGGUACAUAGAUUUUGCUAUGUUAUGUCUAGAUACAUAGCAAAAUUUAUGUACCAAAAAAAAGAGUCAAAGUGACUUAUAAUUUGGAACAAAGGGAGUAGCCUAGAACGACCUUGCUUUUCCUUUCCUGCUUCUCAUAUCACAAAUCAAAUGGAUCAUACAAAAUUUUGGCUGGCCAUUUAAUCGAGCUUUGGUUGCAAAGAUUAUUUCAUAUUUUGAAGACAUUGCUGCCGAUUUUCAGAAUUCAGUGGAAUGGAAGAUAUGACAUAUGCCAGAACCGAGAAAAUGUUUGGAAAGUGAGAAGGUGCUUUGUAUUGGGUGUUAAAGGACUACUAUGUCUGCUAUUAAACAUGUAGAAGAACACAUUUCAGCAUAAUCUAGUCUACAUAAGAAUGUUGACAGCAAGCUGAAAAAAGUUCCCAUGAAACUGGUAUCUGUCAAGAGGUAACUCAGAGCAUGUACCAUAAGCAUUUUCUUUGAUCUAUAGUUUGUUGGAUUCGUUCUAAUGAGGUCCUUCAUUAGGAUCUUGAGGUGAACUGACUGUACUGUACCCAUUAGCCGGCAAUUACCUAACGUUUGGUAAGCAUGUAGUCCCCACCAGAAAGUAAAUAGAAGUGGGUGUAGCCAAUACAACAUCUGGUACAUGUCCUAAAAUAUGAAAAAUUUCAGGUAAUUUUAAAGUGUGAUGGGCUGUUGCAUACUUGUAUGUAGUUUGAUUUGAUGAUAGCUUCCAAAAUUUUUUCAUAAGAUCUUUUCAUCGUCACUAAUACUGUCCAGUGUCUAAAGAACACAUAAUUUUUUCAUCAUAUAAAUAAAAAGAGGCAUUCACUGGCCUUUGCCUCAGCCCUGGACUCCUGGCAUUCACUUGUAGGUAGCAACCGUGUGACAAUUCUAUGUGUGAAGUAAUUGGAUGGACACUGAACUGUUCUUAUGCCAGUCAGGAUCACUGAGGCCCAGAAUAAAGGCUUCCUUUGUUCAUUCCAAUCCUUAACUGGCAGUCACUUGCACUAUUGAGAAUGAGAAUAGAUCGUCUCUGAGACUUGGAACUCUAUAUAGGAGUCAGAGGCAAGAGUCUAGUUACCCAUUUCGAUGUAUCAUCAUCACUGUAGUUGAGUAUUUACAUGGCGCGGCGUGACGAGGAAGGUUUGUUGAACCACACACAUUAUUAUUAUUUCUGACGACUUCCUCUUGAUUCUCCAGAAGCAAUGAAGCAUUGUUUAAGCUAUAAACCUGUGUUGUCAUUUCAGAUAUCUGUUCCGCCAACAUCAGCUUGGUCGUCUUUGAGCUCAUCAAUCAAGCACGCGUUGCAUUCAAGCAUCAUGUCAAUCCCCCCCCCCCCCCCCCCCCCCCCCCCCCCCCCCCCCGAAACAGCAUGAAGACGAUCUGAAGUCGCAUGCUAUUAUUCCUCAAGACAAGAAGAAUAUUUUGCUUUCGCAGCAGUUUGAGGUUCUGCCUCAAGUUGUGCAAGGCAUGCAUGCUGUCAGAGUUGUGUGUGUCUGGGCGAGAGCGGGACUAGCGAGAGCAGCUGCAACCUGCAAGGACUUGGCAGCAGGCCCAUUGCGACCAUACUAUCCAUAUUCAGUGAGCCAUAACUUGCCCUCCACCUCCACCAUCAAAGUGCCGAUGCCGAUGCCGAUGCCCACAGAGGCACAACAGCACUGUGGUUCACGAUAAAGCAUGCUCGCACCCUUCCUUUCCUCUCUUUGCCAGUUGCCACCCAGACGACACCCCCGCACCGCACCCCUUCCCUUUGCCAUAGCUCCUGCAUGUGAUGAUGUUGAUAGCGGAGAAGAUGACGGUGGCAUUGGCCGUUGCGGACUGGCGGGGGAGGUUGCUGUGGAGACGAGUGCCUGCAGCCCAAUGCCAUGCUUGGCCGGUUUGGCCCAUGCUCUUGCGCACUGGUCUGCAAUCUGCAUAGAGCCAUAUAUAUACAUGUCCAAAUGGGCGUGCCGGGCUAACCCGGCCCGGGCACGAUUAGGCCCGGCACGAAUAGUGCCCGGGCUGGCCCGGCACGCAGACAGUAACGAGCUGUGCCGUGCCCGCCACGGGCCGGACUUAGAGCCCAAGCACGGCACGGGGACCCUCUAAACGUGCCGUGCCGGGCUUCCAGCCCGGUGGGCUUAAACGUGCCGUGCCGCCCAUUAGCCCAGAUACCAGUAAAAAUCAAUUACACAAAUUCACAAUUACACACAUAAUCUGCCAGCAAUUACAAGAUCACAAAUUCACAAUUACACACAUAAUCUGCCAGCAAUUACAAGAUCACAAAUUCACAAUUACACAUUCACAAUUCACAAGGCAAGAUAAAAAUUCAAGGAAAGACAACAACUUAUCAGCAAUGUACCAAUGGUUAUCAGUUAACAAAGGAGAACCAUCUUAUAUGGAACAAUAUGCUUAAGCAUCAAGUAAGUAGAAUUCCAUCUAACAUCCAUGUCAACACCAAAUUUACGAGGGCGAAAACCCUGACUCAAACAAACCAUUUUGUAUGCAGCAAUACGUUGAUUAGAAGCAUUUAAGAAAGUAAUGGCAGUUCUAAAAUCAUUAAGAUAAGGCUUCAAGCGCUUCAAACCAGAUUUAACAAUAAGAUUAAUAAUGUGGCAAGCACAUCUUUGAUGCAAAAAUAUAGAGCUCAAACCAUCACCAUCAUCUAAGUCAAGUAUAUCAUUGCAGGCAAAGUCAAGGUAACCAGUAAACAUAGGUUGAAGAAGAGACAUAGCAGUUUUGUUUGAAGAAGCAUUGUCCAAGGUAAUUGCAAAAAUUUUAUUUACUAUUCCAUAAUCAUCUACUACCAUAGAAAUAUGCUCAGCAAUAUUAGAACCAGUAUGUGCAGACUCAAUAGGCCUAAGACCCAGUAGUCGUUUUUCCAAACCCCAAUUAGAAUUCACAUAAUGGGCAACAACGCUAAUAUAAUCUUCUUUGGCUUUACCAGACCAAAUAUCAGAAGUUAGUGCCACAGAUGAAACUGAAGACUUCAAAGUUUCAAUUAGUCCCUCCAUUCGACCAUUGUAAUGUUUAAUUAAAUCUCUAGCAAUUGUUUGCCUAGACGACUUAACAAAUCUGGGGUUAUGCGCACGGGUAAUAUACUCAUGGAAAGCAUCAGACUCAGCAAAACAUAAAGGCAGAUCCUCUCUAGCUAUCAAUCGACACAUUUCAGUUCGUGCAACCAAUGUAGAAUACUCCCAACGUUGGACAGACCCAUCAGGAUUAAAUUUAAGGACUGACUGAACUAUGCCUGCUCGGUCAUGUUCAAUUUUAGCUUUACAAUGUUCUUGGUGCCUAAGUAAGUGUCUUUCUUCAGAUGAAGAUUUAGCAGACAAGGUACAUUUGCAGUGUUUGCAAAUAGCAGAGAUCCUUACCUUCUUACCUUUGUCGUCGAGCCCAGUUACUUCCUCGAAGUCAGCCCAAACCCUAGAUGUCGCUAGCCUCUUCCUCGGCCGGUUGUCAUUGGCAGUGCUACCACCAGUGGCAGUGGGGCUCGAGGAGGCAGUCACAGGCGCCGCAUCAACAUCUACGGGAUCAACAUUGCUGCCAGUGGCAGUGCCAAUCCCAAACAAGGCCAACUCAUCCAAACGCUCGUUGUGAUCCUCAAGCUCACGCUCUGCCGCCUCGGCGUCCUGAUCAAGAUCCAUGGAGAUGGAGGGAUACUUGACCGUCUCCUCAACGACGUCACCGGUUCCUCAACGACCUUCAAAUCGUAUAAAUAAAAUACAAAAUAUCAAAAUCAAGAGCACAAAGGUAGUAGAUCUAGGAAAAUAGAACUUCACCUGAGUGGCCGGAGCACCGGAGUCGUCGACGAGGGGCAACCAGAGGGGCAGAGCUGAUGUUGCUUGAGGUCAAGGAGGAUUGGACGAGUGUAGGCAGAGCAGAUUAGAACAAAGAAACGAGACGGAGAGCCGGAGAGGCACGCACAGUCGCACAGAAUCAGGGAGGCACAAACCCUAAACCCUAAGCGAAGAAGCGAGACGGAGAAGGCGAGAGGAAACAAGAGAUCUAAGAACAAAUCAGAAGAGCAAGAGCACCGAAAAGUCACCGACGACCACCACUCACCAGUUUAGGUUUAGGGUUAGGAGAAGCCGAGAAGUAGUCGAACUUACAGACAGGGGGCAGGGGCUAUGUCGGCUCACCGGAGCAAGAGGAACACGACAGUCGACGGCCGACGAGCGCAAAGCACGGAUCCACGGAGCCACUCCACGAAGGAGAUCCAGAGAGGGCGAGUCCGCGAGUGUGACGGAGACGGAGAGGGCGAGGGCGAGAGAGGAGACGAAAAUGUGGAAGACUGGAAUGUGUGCGCGUGCGGCGGACGGGGAGUCGGGGAGGGAUAUUUUGAUGUGAGCCGGGCUUGGAACGGGCCGUAAGCUUAAACGGGCCGUGCUCGGGCUCCGCCCGACGUGCCCCGACUCAGGCCCAAGCACGGCCCGGGUGUCGUGCCGGGCCGGCCCGAGCCCGUCGCCUUCCGUGCCGUGCCGGGUACGGGUCGGGCCUAACCCGUGCCGUGCUUCGGGCUACCCGUAAGGCCCGACCCGUUUGGACAUGUAUAGCCAUAUACAUUGCAUUUCCUUGGGAGAGUUUUUUUUUUAUGAUGGGGGCAUGGGGCAGGUGUGGGUCCCCCCUCUUUGCUGAGAGAGAGAAAAACUUCACUCAAAGAAAGACAACUCGACACGUCGUGACUCACUGGCUGUUGGCUACUUGGCUCAAUCCAACUAGAGUACAACAGUACUAUCUCCGUUCUAAAAUUAAAGAACGAACACAAUUCUAGGUCUGACCAAAGUCAACACAUUUUUUUUUAAGUCUGACGAAUUCUAUAGGAAUUACUUCCUCGGCCCUACCUAUACUAGAUGACGUUUUAGAUUUAGGCGUGUGAAAAAUUAACGAGGAGCGAAAAAAUGAUGUGCUCACUCUAGGUUUAAAUUAUAUGUGGUUCUACGAAUAACCAUUUUGUUGUCUAGUUAGUUUUGAAACCUAAGCAGUCAUACGCACCGAUUUUGUCUUAAAUGGUACUUCUACAAGAGUAUAAAUUUAUUAAGAGUUCAUUUGUAUUUUUAACGAAAAAGCAUUCAUUUGUAUUUUAACAAAAAAAACAUGGGUCAAAGCUAUACUUUAGAGACCUGUCGUUGGCCUAAACGGAUUAUAAGUUAGACUUGGAGUAAGUAAACUUUAAAUCAUUUGAGUUAGGGGAUGUUUAAAUGCACUGAAACUAAUAGUUAGUUGCUAAAAUUAGUUGAGACAUCCAAAUAGUCUUGCUAAUAGUUUGUUUAUUAGCUAAUUUUAGCAAAUUAGAUAAUAGUUAGCUGGCUAAUUAAUUUGUAACCAAUUAAAUAUUAGCUCUAGUGCAUUCAAACGCUUCCUUAAUGUCAUCUAUAGUUGAUUUUUUUGGGAGGGUGCGAGAAGAAUCUGAUGCCUGAAAUGAAGUUUGUGUUGUUCAAACCAGGGGCAGACCCAGGCCCAUGGCCGCCUGGGCCACGGCCCGGGGCGCAGGCCCAUUUAUUUUUUUAGAAGAUACUCAUACUGGGCCAGAACGCCGACUCGCCGAGCGCCGCGUCCGCGUCCCGUACUCCCGCAGUCCCGCGCCCCAGACCGCAGUCCGCCGCCACCGCGCGCUCAGACCCCAGUCCGCCGCCGCCGCGCGCCCAGACCCCAACCCGUCGCCGCGCCACCCAGACCCCAACCCGCCGCCGCGCCACCCAGACGCCAGUCCAGCCCGUCCGCCGAGCGCUCGCCCAGCGCGACAGCGCCCCAGCCCCCAGCCUAGACCGUCGAGCGUUGAGCCGGCGCCGCCCAAUCCGCCGCGCGCGCCUGGCGACUGGGCGCCUCUCCGCCGCGCCCCAGCCCAGUCCGGCAGUCCCUGCAGCCUGCUCGCUCGGCUUCGCUAGUUCGCUUUCUCGGCUUCAGAGUUCAGACCCUGCAGAGUGCAGACUAGUAGCCCUCAGAGUGUAAGGCAGUAACAAUCAAAAUGAAGAAGAGACAUAGAAUAUUGCAAUCAUUUUUUUCUCCAGCUCUCACACCCGUUGUGCCUAAUGUGCAGCCAAGAUCAAACAUCAAUUCUCAACCAACAAAUUGAUGAAAUUAGACAACAUGGAUGGGAAGAUCUCUUUGAGGAUACUAAAUCAUUUUGUAUUCAAUAUAAUAUCAUUGUGCCAAACAUGUUGGAUACAACCACUGCUAGAGGUCGCUCAAGAGGUCGUGGAGUGGCAACAGCAUCUGUGGAGAGAGCUUUCUUAUCUAUGAAUAUCAUUAAAACUGAGUUGCGGAAUAAGACAGGAGACAAAUGGCUUAACCAUCGUAUGGUGUGUUAUAUUGAGAGGGAUAUAUUUACAAGCAUUGAUGAUGCAAAGAUAUUGGAUUAUUUUCAAGGCAUGAGAACCCGCAGGGUGAAUCUACCUCGUACUAGUGGUUCUGGAGCAAGAAGCACUGAUGUUGAUGUUGAUAUGAUACAUUUGGAAGGAGCUACAUCAUAACUUGUAUGUCAUCUUUUAACAUAUAUGACAACGUUGUUUCGCCGUACAAUUUUUUAUAUAUUACUAUUAAAGUUUAUGGUCGCUUCGGCCCGGGUCUUGGCUAAUUUCUGGGUCCGUCACUGGUUCAAACACUCCCUUAAUAUGAAUUUAGUGCAUUCAAACACUAUAGAAGUAGUAAGCAAACCAACUAACCAAGCGAAGUUUGUGUUGGCAGACGGUCAACGGGUACAUACAUAAACCGAUGGCGGGUGCUGCAUGCAUAUCAGUUAUUAGUCCAGUAGUCUGUCAGCCGCGCUGUUCCAUGGUUCAAGUUUAGCCACCCACCCAACAACGCGUCUGAUCUCUCUCUCUCUCUCUCUCUCUCUCUUGGAUUGAAAUUGGAGAAAAAAAUAGUAAUAAAGAAAAGCAGGGAAGAAAGGGACACCUCAGUUUGUACA